rnacentral:rRNA from 1 species
AGACUCCUACGGGAGGCAGCAGUGGGGAAUAUUGCACAAUGGGCGAAAGCCUGAUGCAGCGACGCCGCGUGAGGGAUGACGGCCUUCGGGUUGUAAACCUCUUUCAGUAGGGAAGAAGCGAAAGUGACGGUACCUGCAGAAGAAGCGCCGGCUAAAUACGUGCCAGCAGCCGCGGUAAUACGUAGGGCGCAAGCGUUAUCCGGAAUUAUUGGGCGUAAAGAGCUCGUAGGCGGUUUGUCGCGUCUGCCGUGAAAGUCCGGGGCUCAACUCCGGAUCUGCGGUGGGUACGGGCAGACUAGAGUGAUGUAGGGGAGACUGGAAUUCCUGGUGUAGCGGUGAAAUGCGCAGAUAUCAGGAGGAACACCGAUGGCGAAGGCAGGUCUCUGGGCAUUAACUGACGCUGAGGAGCGAAAGCAUGGGGAGCGAACAGGAUUAGAUACCCUGGUAGUCCAUGCCGUAAACGUUGGGCACUAGGUGUGGGGGACAUUCCACGUUUUCCGCGCCGUAGCUAACGCAUUAAGUGCCCCGCCUGGGGAGUACGGCCGCAAGGCUAAAACUCAAAGGAAUUGACGGGGGCCCGCACAAGCGGCGGAGCAUGCGGAUUAAUUCGAUGCAACGCGAAGAACCUUACCAAGGCUUGACAUGAACCGGAAACACCUGGAAACAGGUGCCCCGCUUGCGGUCGGUUUACAGGUGGUGCAUGGUUGUCGUCAGCUCGUGUCGUGAGAUGGUGGGUUAAGUCCCGCAACGAGCGCAACCUUCGUUCUAUGUUGCCAGCGCGUUAUGGCGGGGACUCAUAGGAGACUGCCGGGUUCAACUCGGAGGAAGGUGGGGACGACGUCAAAUCAUCAUGCCCCUUAUGUCUUGGGCUUCACGCAUGCUACAAUGGCCGGUACAAAGGGUUGCGAUACUGUGAGGUGGAGCUAAUCCCAAAAAGCCGGUCUCAGUUCGGAUUGGGGUCUGCAACUCGACCCCAUGAAGUCGGAGUCGCUAGUAAUCGCAGAUCAGCAACGCUGCGGUGAAUACGUUCCCGGGCCUUGUACACACCGCCCGU